rnacentral:rRNA from 1 species
GAUGAACGCUAGCUACAGGCUUAACACAUGCAAGUCGAGGGGAAACGGCAUUUAGUGCUUGCACCGAAUGGACGUCGACCGGCGCACGGGUGAGUAACGCGUAUCCAACCUUCCCAUAACUAAGGAAUAACCUGCCGAAAGGCAGACUAAUACCUUAUGUAAUCCUUUGAUGGCAUCAGAUAAGGAUAAAAGAUUUAUCGGUUAUGGAUGGGGAUGCGUCUGAUUAGCUUGUUGGCGGGGUAACGGCCCACCAAGGCAACGAUCAGUAGGGGUUCUGAGAGGAAGGUCCCCCACAUUGGAACUGAGACACGGUCCAAACUCCUACGGGAGGCAGCAGUGAGGAAUAUUGGUCAAUGGACGGAAGUCUGAACCAGCCAAGUAGCGUGCAGGAAGACGGCCCUAUGGGUUGUAAACUGCUUUUGUAUGGGGAUAAAGUCAAUCACGUGUGAUUGUUUGCAGGUACCAUACGAAUAAGGACCGGCUAAUUCCGUGCCAGCAGCCGCGGUAAUACGGAAGGUUCGGGUGUUAUCCGGAUUUAUUGGGUUUAAAGGGAGCGUAGGCCGGAGAUUAAGUGUGUUGUGAAAUGUAGACGCUCAACGUCUGACUUGCAGCGCAUACUGGUUUCCUUGAGUACGCACAACGUUGGCGGAAUUCGUCGUGUAGCGGUGAAAUGCUUAGAUAUGACGAAGAACUCCGAUUGCGAAGGCAGCUGACGGGAGCGCAACUGACGCUGAAGCUCGAAGGUGCGGGUAUCGAACAGG